rnacentral:rRNA from 1 species
GACGAACGCUGGCGGCGUGCUUAACACAUGCAAGUCGAACGGAAAGGCCCUGCUUUUGUGGGGUGCUCGAGUGGCGAACGGGUGAGUAACACGUGAGUAACCUGCCCUUGACUUUGGGAUAACUUCAGGAAACUGGGGCUAAUACCGGAUAGGAGCUCCUGCUGCAUGGUGGGGGUUGGAAAGUUUCGGCGGUUGGGGAUGGACUCGCGGCUUAUCGGCUUGUUGGUGGGGUAGUGGCUUACCAAGGCUUUGACGGGUAGCCGGCCUGAGAGGGUGACCGGCCACAUUGGGACUGAGAUACGGCCCAGACUCCUACGGGAGGCAGCAGUGGGGAAUAUUGCACAUUGGGCGGAAGCCUGAUGCAGCAACGCCGCGUGCGGGAUGACGGCCUUCGGGUUGUAAACCGCUUUCGCCUGUGACGAAGCGUGAGUGACGGUAAUGGGUAAAGAAGCACCGGCUAACUACGUG